AUUGAACGCUGGCGGCAAGCCUAACACAUGCAAGUCGAACGAGUGGCGGACGGGUGAGUAAUGUCUGGGAAACUGCCUGAUGGAGGGGGAUAACUACUGGAAACGGUAGCUAAUACCGCAUAACAUCGGAUUUGCCCAGAUGUGAUUAGCUAGUAGGUGGGGUAAAGGCUCACCUAGGCGACGAUCCCUAGCUGGUCUGAGAGGAUGACCAGCAAAACUGGAACGGAGACACGGUCCAGACUCCUACGGGAGGCAGCAGUAGGGAAUAUUGCACAAUGGGCGCAAGCCUGAUGCAGCCAUGCCGCGUGUAUGAAGAAGGCCUUCGGGUUGUAAAGCACUUUCAGCGGGGAGGCGUGACCCGCAGAAGAAGCACCGGCUAACUCCGUGCCAGCAGCCGCGGUAAUUC
rnacentral:rRNA from 1 species